rnacentral:lncRNA from 1 species
UAUACAUUUACCACACUUGGCAUUUAACGCUUUAACGCCAGAAGACCAUACAAAGUGGUUGACGUGAUGAUGAUAUGGAAGCCCCUCAACGUCAGAAACAUCACAUAGCGUGGAGGGUGGCGUGAUGAUAAGGGUGGGAGAUUCUUCACCGGUGUGGGAUGCUUAUGUUUGGUGAUAUGAAGAGUUUUGAUUGUUGGAACGCCACUUUCACGCCUCUCCCAUUCCGUGUUUUUUUUUACCACACCAUCUGUUGACGUGGCUGCUACAUGACGCUUCAUGCACUUUCUUCAUUCCAUCCCACUCCGUAUAGUCUAAAUGUUGACGUGGUUGGUGACUUGAGCCUACCUCAUAUAUUCUAAGUUUAGUAUCGUAAUUUUAGAAUUAUGAUAUGGUAAUUCAAAAAAAA